GACGAGCCACACGAACGUUAUUCGGAAUUACUGGGCUUAAAGGGUGCGUAGGCUGCGCGGAAAGUUGGGUGUGAAAUCCCUCGGCUCAACCGAGGAACUGCGCCCAAAACUCACGUGCUCGAGGAAGAUAGAGGUAAGCGGAACUUACGGUGGAGCGGUGAAAUGCGUUGAUAUCGUAAGGAACACCUGUGGCGAAAGCGGCUUACUGGGUCUUUCUGACGCUGAUGCACGAAAGCUAGGGGA
rnacentral:rRNA from 1 species